UCAACACGGGAAACACGUCGCCACAAAAGCUUCAAGUAGCAGAUCCGUUUUGUUUAUUUAACAUGGCAGCGGAACCGCUGUACCCUCUGAGGAGCAACAUGCUGUGUGCACUGAAUUGGAUUUAGGAGAAAAAGGAGAUGAGGUUCUUUGGUACCGCACAGAGAUCAAAGAACACUGAACAUACGGCAGUUUCUACUGGUGCUUAUAUAUUCGCAGCGAUGCCUGUCAACAUCCACCAGAGAGCAGGGCAGCUCCAACACCCACAUCUUUUAUGCUGUAGAAAUCAGUGGAGACAGCUACACAGCCAGAUCCUGGCCAAACAACACGGAUUGCAGUUCAUUUCAAAGGUGGAAUGGGUGGUAUAUCAGACAGCUUAUUAAAGAGACAAGCUUGCUGCUUUCCCAAAGUAGGAUGACAGAACAAGUCAUGAUCUUGUGUUGAAGGAAAAUGAGAUCCCACAUGAAGUCUACAAUGUGAUUGACUCUGAAGAAAGACUCUGAGACCCAUCGGUGUUUAAUGACCCUUAUUGGCCUGUGCAGUGGGAACUG